rnacentral:lncRNA from 1 species
UGGGAUUCAGUCCAGUUUCUGUCUCUGUCGCUGCAAGUGAUUUGCCCAGUUUCUUCGAGUGAUUUGGGCAAAUCACUGGGCAAAUCAUAUUUGCUGUCAUUUUCUGCACUUUUUCUCCAACUCUUCAAUUUCUUCCUUUUCUACAAAAACAUAACAAAAACACAAUUUAAGCUAGAAAAAUGUAUAAAUAAACAGUAAAUAAUAUAUUAAAAACAUGGCUAAAUUAUGCUUGGUCA